rnacentral:tRNA from 1 species
ACCUGGGUGGCUUAGUUGGUUAAGUGUCUGACUUCAGCUCAGGUUAUGACCUCACAGUUUGUGGGUUUGAGUCUCGCAUCAGGUC